GUGCACGCUGGCGGUAGGCCUAACCCAUGCAAGUCGCACGGCAGCACAGUAAGAGCUUGCUCUUACGGGUGGCGAGUGGCGGACGGGUGAGGAAUACAUCGGAAUCUACUUUUUCGUGGGGGAUAACGUAGGGAAACUUACGCUAAUACCGCAUACGACCUACGGGUGAAAGCAGGGGAUCUUCGGACCUUGCGCGAUUGAAUGAGCCGAUGUCGGAUUAGCUAGUUGGCGGGGUAAAGGCCCACCAAGGCGACGAUCCGUAGCUGGUCUGAGAGGAUGAUCAGCCACACUGGAACUGAGACACGGUCCAGACUCCUACGGGAGGCAGCAGUGGGGAAUAUUGGACAAUGGGCGCAAGCCUGAUCCAGCCAUACCGCGUGGGUGAAGAAGGCCUUCGGGUUGUAAAGCCCUUUUGUUGGGAAAGAAAAGCAGCAGGUUAAUACCCCGCUGUUCUGACGGUACCCAAAGAAUAAGCACCGGCUAACUUCGUG
rnacentral:rRNA from 1 species